rnacentral:rRNA from 1 species
UACAGGGGGUGCAAACGUUGCUCGGAAUUAUUGGGCGUAAAGCGCGCGUAGGCGGCCACUUAAGUCGGAUGUGAAAGCCCCUGGCUCAACUGGGGAAGUGCACCCGAAACUGAAUGGCUUGAAUGCAAAAGAGGGUCGCGGAAUUCCCGGUGUAGAGGUGAAAUUCGUAGAUAUCGGGAGGAACACCGGUGGCGAAGGCGGCGACCUGGGUUGACAUUGACGCUGAGGCGCGAAAGCGUGGGGAGCAAACGGG